rnacentral:sRNA from 1 species
AAGCCCUGAAGCUUCUCUGUACCUCUCAGAACUAUGGAGUCCGAGCCACCGGGCAGCAAUGCACAGAAGCCGGUGACAUCUGUGCCAUCUGUCAGGCCGAGUUCCGAGAGCCUCUGAUUCUCCUGUGCCAGAUUCAGGACAUUCGUCCCUGUGUGCCACCAAACCAGGACUUUCCCCUUGGCUUGGCAUCCCUGGCUCUCUCCUGGUACCCAGCAAGACGUCUGUUCCAGGGCAGUGUAGCAUCUUUCAAGCUCCGUUACUAUGGCGAUGGCCAUGAUGUUACAAUCCCACUUGCCUGAAUAAUCAAGUGGGAAGGGGAAGCAGAGGGAAAUGGGGCCACAUGAAUGCAGCUGCUCUGUUCUCCCUACCCUGAGGAAGAACCAAAGGGAAGCAACAGGAACUUCUGCAACUGGUUUUUAUCGGAAAGAUCAUCCUGCCUGCAGAUGCUGUUGAAGGGGCACAAGAAAUUGGAGCUGGAGAAGAUUGAUGAAAGUGCAGGUGUGUAAGGAAAUAGAACAGUCUGCUGGGAGUCAGACCUGGAAUUCUGAUUCUAAACUCUUUAUUACUUUGGGAAGUCACUCGGCCUCCCUGUAGCCAUCUCCAGGGUGACGGAACCCAGUGUAUUACCUGCUGGAACCAAGGUAACUAACAAUGUAGGUUACUAGUGAAUACCCCAAUGGUUUCUCCAAUUAUGCCCAUGCCACCAAAACAAUAAAACAAAAUUCUCUAACACUGCAAA